rnacentral:lncRNA from 1 species
UUGUGGGUGGUAGCUGGUAUGUUGGUGGAAACUCCAUGCUUCCAUGGAACCAGCUGUAGAGGAGUGGUGAUGCAAUGAGCAUCCUGGAAGUUUAGUUGUCAUUUGUCACCUUUUGGAUAAUGGAGUAGAUUUCUGAAGCUAUUUCUCCUUGUUUGGUGUUCUGCCUGCAAUUUGGACAAGUGGACUUCAGAUUAUGUCUUCGUAGACUGAAAGGCUUGGGACUACUUUGGUUUUCUGGGGGUCCACUUCAGACCCUAGUUGCCUUGGUUUUUCCCAUACCUGGAGAUGUCACCAGUGAAGCCUGGGAAACAGCAAAGAGGGCAGCCUGAUCGUUCAUCUGGAAACUUUGUUCCAGCAUAAGAAGCCUCUCACCCUAAACAUCACAGCUGGGAAUAUGCUGGACCACAACUAAAGCCAGCAUGGCACUGACUCUGACCAAAGGUGAGACCCAGUACUCAUCAAGGAUUAGCUUCCAGGGGUCCUAGCAAGGUGCAUCACAGUGUCAAGAAUGCACUGCAUUCAGAGAAGUUCAAACUAUGGAUUCCCACCAGAGAAGCCUGAAGUGCUCUGAAGGCUGCCAACAAAAUGUCAAGUGAGUCCACUGACAAAAAGGAAGAGAAACCUUGGAAAAACAUUAUUGCUUAUGUUCCAUCUGAAUCUGAGCAGCUGACCUGAGGAAGGAGCAAUCUUAUUCAAGGGCUUACCCUAUUCCUCAUAUACUCUUGGAAGCAGCUCUAUCACCUUAUUGGAAUGACUUAUGGUGGAAAGCAUGCUCAGACCUGUCAUUUCAAGCUUCUCCUCCCUUUAUGUGCUCUAAUAUCUCAUUGGCCAAAGCAAUAACAUCAAAUUGAAGGGCAAGGAACUUCUCAAAAGGAGGUAGGAAUGAAAAUUAGCCAAACAGAUAUCUUACCUACUAUAGUGGGUAAACUAGAACAUUUCAUUAGAAGAAAGGGCAGUGUACUCAUUGUCAGAUUCUUAUAACAAAAAUGAUCAUGUACUAUAUAAAAUACAAAAAUAUCCAAAUUGACUUAUCAGCUAAAGUGCUGAUUGCAAAUUGCACCCCCAUCAAUGUGAUACAGACUUAGUUGAACAUAGUGGGACUAACAACUAAAUUCGAGCCAUCCAAACAUGGUAAUGCCAUAAGCCUGUACUGGUAUCACACAGAGAAUUUCUUUUUAAAUGACUGUCAGCUGUCACAAUUUUGUAGGUAAACAGAGUUGUCAUAACAUAUUCUUACAAAACUAAGGUUAUACCCAUGACAACAAAAUCUAUGAUGAGACAGACAAUUUGAAGCAGACAGAAGUAGGGUGCUAUGGCCUGUGGUCCAAAUCUGGCCUACACCUAAUUUUUGCAGAUAAAGUUUUAUUGGAACACGGUCAUGCGCAUACCUUUAUGUGUAGUCUGUAGUGGCUUUUGUGCGGCAAUUGCAGAGAUUAUAGGUCUUACAAAGCCUAAAAUGUUUGUUUUCUGGCCUUUUACAGAAAAUACUUACUGAUUGCCAAUCUAGAAGAACUCCACAGUUAUGAUUUUUGCCUACUUUUGAGCUGCCUCUGAAUAGAACACAGUCUAUAAAACCAGCGAGGUGAAUAGGGUGGCAUAGCAAGGUUUCCUAACCCCCAGCCCAUGAGCCUUCACUGAGGUGUGGAGUUGGAGUCUGCAGAAAGAUUUCUAACGGAAACCCCUGCUAGGGGACCUGCUGGUAGCUUCUCGCUCCCUGUACCUUCUUAGGUUUUGUAGAAAAAAAGUUUCCUGAAGGGAAAAAUGUUCUUGAUACUACUAGCUCUCAAGGAUUAGAAAGGUUUACCUCUGUCACACAUCACAAGCUGAAAACAAGGGAUGCUUAUUUGAAAAUGUGAAAACUCAAUUUGCAGAAGUAGGGACAGGCACAUGCAAUGUUAGGCUGUUCUCUCCCCACUGACAUUGCCAGGAUUAAAAAUAGCCGUUCUGUUUGUCCUUCAGCCCUGUAUUGAACUGGAGCCUCCAAGUUGCAUUCUCCUUAGCUUCAUGCUUAAUGAAGCAUAAUUUGUAUUAAUAGCAGCUAUUAAAUCUAGAGUGCUUAAUAGGAAUUUAGAGCGGAGGGCCUGAGUCACCAAGCUCCUCAAACAUGGUCCCCAGAGAGCUGAGCUCAGGCCUGAACACCAGCAGCAAUGAAUUUUGGGCUUGGUAAGGUGAAGCAGCUGUGUUUAACAGGAGGAGAAAGGGGAAAAAGAAAUGAAGAAACAGGACUCAACACCUCCAAUUCAGCCUGGGGGUUUCUCAAGUUCCAGGUUCUAUAAUACAAGGGGGUCCCUUAUUCGUAUUAUGUCUGCAUUCCGGAAAAGAUUGCUGGGUGCUGGAGAACACAUGGGCUUGACAAUUUUACACACUUGCAUUCAGAUUUAGUGCUGCUGUGUGACCUGGCUUUGGUCUCUUAACCUCUCUGAGCCUCAGUUUUUUUCUUAUCUGAGAAACAAAGAUAAUCAAGUGGUGAUAACAUAAUGGGAGUUACUGUGAAGAUUAAUGGGGGAAAGAUGCAUAGCAAUGAAGAUUGGAUGUUGGGUCUGCAUCUCUCUGUUUUCCCGUCCUUCUCUAAACCCAAUUCUAUUUUAAAUACAAUCUGGAAGGGUUUUCAUAGAAAAUUAUUUUGGGAAGCCAAAUAGCUUCCUUUUAGUCCUGCAUUAGCAAAAAAUGUCUCUGACUUGCUCAAGCUUCCCUUUAAACAUUGUGUUGUUUGUGAUUUGCUUUGUUGUAAAUCCCCUGUUUAAAUGUCUGUCUCCAUCCCGACCCCAUGAGCUCCUUAAUGCUGUGAGAAGAAAAUGUGUUUUUCUCACCUUUCACUCCCAUUGCCUAGGACAGGGUCUGGCACCAGGCAGGUGUGCAGUCAGUUGUGGUUUCUGUCAUCACUGCUAUUUUACAAUUAAGCAAACAGUGUUAAAUACAGGGAGUUUUGUCUGUUUGGGUAUUACCAACUGAUUGCCCUUGUUGAGAGGAUUGACUAGAAAAAUAAAGCUCUUGGGCAGGGCUUGUGCCCUAUAGUUGUUUUUACUAGAAGUAUUCUAUAGUAUUUAUUAGAGCAAGAAAAACUGAGUCUCCUUCAGUGCACAGUCGGUAGCUUAUUCUGACAGUUGCACAUUCAGCAUGAAUGUCCUUUUCUGCACUGGGCUGUGGGUGGGUCCCCAUGGUAGAAGCCUGGCUCCACACAUGGCUUCUGCUCAGCACUUGGGUAGAAGGAGACAGCAGCAGAAUGUGAGCCUUCAAAGAAAUUAUCAAGUUGGGCAGCUUGCCUUUGGAAGGGAGUCCAUUUGUGGCAAGCCAUUACAAUGUCCUAGGUCCAUUUAAAUAUGCCCAGGAAAAAAAAAAUAACUUCAACCAUCCUCUAACAUCCUGAAGCAGGAGAAUUAACAGCCUUGCCUUGAACUCAGGCAGCCAACAGGAGAAUACACACAGUGAAGGCCUGGCUAUGCUAAAUCAAUGUGAGCUGAGCAUCCUCACUGCACGUUACCUGUGCAAAGAAUCAGCCAUGACAGAGGAUGAGAGAAUUUUCCAUUGCUUUAGAGAAUGGUGAGAUGCUUUCCAUUUCAUGUGCAAAUCAACAAGCCUGUAGACUGUCCAUAGGGCAGGAACGUGCAACAUAGGAUGUGAUUUCAGGUGAUCAAUCACUUCUAUGUUGGCUUAACUACAAUGGCCCAGUUACAGAGGGACUCCUUGCUGGGCCAUGUGCAUCAAAAACAAAGUUUCUAUGAUUUCUUACAAAAUUAAACAUACUUUUACUGUAUUAUCUCCCAGUCAUGCUCCUUGGUAUUUACCCAAAGGAAUUGUAAACUUACGUCCACACAAAAACCUGCACAUAGAUCUUUAUAGUAGCUUUAUUCAUAGUUGCCAAAACUUGGAAGCAACCAAGAUUUCCUUCGGUAGGUGAGUGGAUAAAUAGACUGUGGUACAUCCAGAUGAUGGAAUAUUAUUCAGAACUAAAAAUUAAUGUACUGUUAAGCCAUGAAAAGACAUGGAAGAAACUUUAAUGUAUAUUACUAAGUGAA